rnacentral:misc_RNA from 1 species
UAUCUCUCCUAUACCAACGUUUGUUGGAAUCUAUAGGGACUUGGGGUCUUCUCGUCGAACAUUACUUCUCGUAAUACUCGGCGAACCCUUUAAAUGUAGUAAGCUCCCAUCUAUUUCAUUAUCGGAAAUACGUAAACUUGGGGAUGGCGUCGUAGCAAUCACUUUAUUGUAUUGUCGAAGCGCCUAUACAUACCUCUAAUCUACGGUGCUAAUCCUUUAUUAGCUUGGGCGAAGCUUAACGACUGGCAAAGUGCCAUGCUCCAUUUAUUUACGGAGUACACGAACAA